GACGAACGCUGGCGGCGUGCCUAAUACAUGCAAGUUGAGCGAUGAAGAUUGGUGCUUGCACCAAUUUGAAGAGCAGCGAACGGGUGAGUAACGCGUGGGGAAUCUGCCUUUGAGCGGGGGACAACAUUUGGAAACGAAUGCUAAUACCGCAUAACAACUUUAAACAUAAGUUUUAAGUUUGAAAGAUGCAAUUGCAUCACUCAAAGAUGAUCCCGCGUUGUAUUAGCUAGUUGGUGAGGUAAAGGCUCACCAAGGCAAGGAUACAUAGCCGCCCUGGGAGGGGGUCGGCCCCAUUGGGACCUAGACAACGCCCAAACCCCUACGGGAGGCAGCAGGAGGGAAUUUUCGGAAAUGGACGGAAGGCUGACCGAGCAACGCCGGGGGGGUGAAGAAGGGUCUCGGAUCGUAAAACUCUGGUGGUAGAGAAGAACGAUGGUGAGAGGGGAAAGCUCAUAAAGCGACGGUAACUACCCAGAAAGGGACGGCUAACUACGUG
rnacentral:rRNA from 1 species